UACGAAGGGGGCUAGCGUUGUUCGGAAUCACUGGGCGUAAAGCGCACGUAGGCGGAUCUUUAAGUCAGGGGUGAAAUCCCUCGGCUUAACCGGGGAACUGCGUCUGAUACUGGAUGGCUUGAGUUUGGGAGAGGGAUGCGGAAUUCCAGGUGUAGCGGUGAAAUGCGUAGAUAUCUGGAGGAACACCGGUGGCGAAGGCGGCAUCCUGGACCAACACUGACACUGAGGAGCGAAAGCCAGGGGAGCAAACGGG
rnacentral:rRNA from 1 species